UACGGAGGAGGCUAGCGUUGUCCGGAAUUAUUGGGCGUAAAGAGCUCGUAGGCGGCUUGUCACGUCGACUGUGAAAACCCGGGGCUCAACUCCGGGCCUGCAGUCGAUACGGGCUGGCUUGAGUGCGGUAGGGGAGACUGGAAUUCCGUGGUGAGCGGUGAAAUGCGCAGAUAUCAGGAGGAACACCGGUGGCGAAGGCGGGUCUCUGGGCCGUAACUGACGCUGAGGAGCGAAAGCGUGGGGAGCGAACAGG
rnacentral:rRNA from 1 species